rnacentral:rRNA from 1 species
AUGAUUCCUCUGAAAUUACGACCUUUACCACAACGGUGCCGUCCAUGGAUCAAAUUAUUUCGUGGAUUGGAUUUCACUUGCCGAAGUAUUUGGAUAUGGUAG